GACGAAGGUCAGACCAGCGGAGGGACCUUAGGAGCACUGUGUCUGGGAAAGGGCGGGGCUUACGGCAGGCGGAGCCAAAUGCCCCGCCCACUUUGAUAGGACGAGCCAUUUCCGUCCGCGGAGAAACAGAGGCAGCAGCCGGCCGAGUUGCGAGCAGAGCGCCUCCGGCAGGCCCUCCCUGGUCGGAAGCGGCGAGUGAGCCAAGCGGCGGGCAAGGGCCGGCUCCCAGGAUGGCCAGGGUGGAGGCCCAGGGCCGCCUGUGGCUGGAGAGCCCCCCUGGGGGAGCGCCUCCCAUCUUCCUGCCCUUGGGUGGGCAAGCCCUGGUGCUGGGCCGAGGACCCUUGACGCAGGUUACCGACCGGAAGUGCUCCAGAAACCAAGUGGAGCUGGUCGCUGACCCUGAGACUCGGACGGUGGCAGUGAAACAGCUGGGAGUUAACCCCUCAACUGCCGGGACUCAGGAGCUGAGAACAGGGUUGGAGGGUUCUCUGGGGGUGGGGGACACGCUGUAUUUGGUCAAUGGCCUCCACCCGCUGACCCUGCGCUGGGAAGAGGCUCACACGCCAGAAUCCCAGCCAGACACUCCACCAGGCACCCCUCCUGUGGCCCCGGAGGAGGAGGAGGAGGAGGAGGAGGAUGAACAGCAGAAAAAGCGGAUAAGGAAGUCAUCCCCUGGCUGGGAGAGCUUCCAGAAGCUGCUAGUGUUCACGGCACCUGGUGUGAAGCCCCGGGGCAAGGUGGCCGGUUUUGAUCUGGAUGGGACCCUCAUCACCACACGUUCUGGGAAGGUCUUUCCCACUGGCCCCAGUGACUGGAGGAUCUUGUACCGAGAGAUUCCACAGAAGCUCCGGGAACUGGCUGCCGAGGGUUACAAGCUGGUGAUCUUCACCAACCAGAUGGGCAUUGGACGCGGGAAGCUGCCAGCGGAGUUGUUCAAGGCCAAGGUGGAGGCUGUGGUGGAGAAGCUGGGGGUCCCCUUUCAGGUCUUGGUGGCCACGGACGCAGGCUUGUACCGGAAGCCGGUGAUCGGCAUGUGGGACCACCUGCAGGGGCAGGCCAACGAGGGCGUGCCCAUCUCCAUCGGGGACAGCGUCUUUGUGGGAGAUGCAGCUGGACGCCCAGCCAACUGGGCCCCUGGGCGCAAGAAGAAAGACUUCUCUUGCGCUGACCGCCUGUUUGCCCUCAACCUGGGCCUGCCUUUCGCCACGCCAGAGGAGUUCUUUCUGAAAUGGCCCAUGGCCCGCUUCGAGCUCCCAGCCUUUGACCCGAGGACCGUCUCCUGCUCUGGGCCUCUCUGCCUCCCCGAGUCCAGCUCCCUCUUAAGCUCAGACCCCGAGGUGGUUGUCGCCGUGGGAUUUCCUGGGGCUGGGAAGUCCACCUUCCUCCAGGAGCAUCUCGUGUCGGCCGGAUACGUCCACGUGAACAGGGACACUCUGGGCUCAUGGCAGCGCUGCGUGACCACGUGCGAGGCGGCCCUGAAGCAAAGGAAACGGGUCGUGAUUGACAACACGAACCCGGACAUCCAGAGCCGAGCCAGGUACCGGGGUCCCAGGGGCGGCCUCUGUAGGGUGGGCCCCGGGCCCUUUGCCAGCCCCCCACUUCCCCGGCCCCCACAGGUACGUCAAGUGUGCCCGAGACGCAGGCGUCCCCUGCCGCUGCUUCCUCUUCAGCACCACCCUGGAGCAGGCACGCCACAACAACCGGUUCCGGGACAUGACGGACUCCUCUCACAUCCCCGUGACCGACAUCGUCAUUUACGGCUACAGGAAGCAGCUCGAGGCCCCCACGCUGGCCGAAGGCUUCUCCGCCAUCCUGGAGAUCCCGUUCCGGAUCCACGUGGCGCCGCAGCUCGAGCGGCUGUACCGCCAGUUCUCAGAGGGCUGAGCCAACGCCCACCCCCACCUGCUCCCCACCCCACAAUAAAUGCUGUUUUUCUUCAUGUUUGACCAGCAUUUUGCUCCCAGCCGGGCUAGGAGCACAGACCCACUGGCCUGGUCUCCCAGGAAGGCACUGCUGGCAACUUUGCCUCAAACUAAACCCUCAGCCCACCUUGGGGACAACUGCAUCUCGCGGACGGGGGUUUCGGCUUCUCCAGCCUGCGGCUGCUGGCGCUCCAGAUAGGCGCCAGGGCAUCCUGGCUGGCAGGGCCCGAGUGGAGUUCGCUGCACGCAGCUGCCAGCUGCAGAGCAAGCCCGGAGUUUUAGCAAGACUGACCCGGGGCCAAGAGCUGGAGCUCCGAUUCCGUGAGAAAUGAGGUGCUCUGCAUGCUGGACUUGAACCCCAGGGCUAUGGCCUGGACCUGCAGCAGCGAGGGGCGCCUGAGAGCCCGGCCAGGCCUGCCGCGUGCCACCAGUGCCAGAGGACUGGAACCGGCCUGGCAUUGCCUUGUGUUUGCUUCCAGCUAAGUGAGGCUUGUGGAACCCGCAGGACAAGGAGGGCAGCCUGGCAACGCCGGGAGUCGGGGGAUGGACCCCAGGAGCAGCCGGCCAGCUGUGGAAAGACUCUGGAAGACACGGCCCAGCAAGCACCUUGCAGACCUGGCAGCUCCGUGAACUGCAGCUUCCCCUCCUGGCUCAGGUUCCGCUGCAGGACCUGCUGCUGAUUGGCGAUGACGCGCCGGAUGCCGUUGACGAAGUUGCUCUGGUCGUGGGGGAUGAGGCCGAUGAAGAUCUUCUUCUCAGAGGAGUACAGAAGCAUGAGCACGCGGAUCUCGCACGAGGCCUUGUAGGAAAAGUGCACGCAGCCGGCCUGGCAGUGUGGAGCACAGUGUCACGGGCGGGCCCUCAGCGCAGACGCUCCUCCCCAUUGUGACACGGGCGCAAACCGCACGGGUCAGCGCCCUGGCAGACGGGCACCACGGAGCACGCUGGGCCUUCCCAGCCGCCGUCCUCAGCCCUGUCAACACUCCCACAGGACACCAGAGGUGCCUGCGCAAGGACCAGUGAGUGGGCUCUACAGCUGAGCCCAGGAGGCUGCCCGACGAGCUCCAGCGAGACUGUGGCCCCCACGCCGGCCAGCCAGUACCCAGGGUCCCCACGGGACCAGCCACGGCCGUGACCGCGACCACGCAGGAAGGCCGCGGCGGGGGAGAAACACCAGGGGCCAAUCUGGCCCCAGGAGGCCGGGCACCAGGGCUCCGUCCACUCUGCGACCCCCGGGCCAGCUGAGGGCGGGGAAGCUGGGCGGCGCUGAUCCACUGCGAUGCCGCCGUCACCGUGGCUUGGGACAUGGCUCAGCGUCACAGCGACCGCAGUGCCGACAGGCACCAAUCGCUCCCUGACGCCUUUCACAGGAUCCUCUCUCCAGGGCCCAGGGGUCACCGUCCCCAUCUUACAGGUGAGCAAACCCAGGCUGAGAGCUCGGGGACUCGCAGGCCCCCAGAGUAAGAAGGGGUUAUGCCUGCCCUCGGGCCUGUGUGCCACUGCAGGGGCCAGUGCUGACAGGCAUCGAGGAGGAAGCCCCUCACAGCACCCCCGAGCCAACAGCCGAGGGAAGCCCGAGUGCGACAAGGGAGCACCGGCCAUGUCCUCGAGGCCUUAGUUUCCCUGAGGGAAUCCUGCUUUUAAACUCUUAAAUAACCAGCCCCUCAAAUGCACAGUGGCACAACCAUGAUGACUUCGGCUGACUUAGAAACAUUACGCUAAUUCGAGGACAGCUAUGACCUGAUACAGCAAACACCCACAAAGCGGACACAGACAGCUGCGGCUUCAGAAGCACGAGGGCCAAGCUCCUCACUUCACAGAUGGAGAGACCGAGGCCCGCAGAGAGGGGAGAACUGGCCAAGGCCCACCAGCAGUUUUUAAACACCAAGCGGCUCUGGCUCUGUCUGUCCCACCAUCAGCCCGGCCCUGGGCCCCACCAGCCCACUCACAAAGCCGUUGUCCAUGAUCCGGCACAGGCUCUUCAGCGUCUCCAGGUCCUUGGUGAAGUGGAACUGCACCAGGCGGGAGUUCCGGAAGAGCGGCACCAGGGUGGUCUGCAGGGAGGCCCCGAGGUGGCUGGGCCAGGCGCCAGGGCCCCGCAGCCCCUCAUGCCCACACGUCAGCAGGCCCCGCCCCGCCUACCGCCACUUGCUGGACAGGCAGCCUCCCCCAGGGCCCCAAGGUCGAGGCAAGCCAAGUGCCCCCUUCCCCACUCACCAGCAGCUGCUGCGGGAUGAGCUGCAUAUACAGCUUCCGCGGCCACUGCUCGGUCCUCCUGCAGGGAUGCGGGGACGAGGGUCAGGAGGCCAGGUCUCACCGAGAUGCCGCCCCCGCCCCCUGCCCGACACUCACAGGAUCUCCCCUUGGUUCACGUAGAUGUGCGACGGCAGCCACCUCUUAGACCGACUGUUAGGCUCAGGCCUGGGCUUUUGGGGGGUAAGAAGAGGGAAGCCGUCAGGAGUGGGAGGAUGCCCUGGUCCUGAGGUCACCCAGGCCCGCCCAGGGCUCACCUCCUGCCACUCCAUGACUCCACUCCAUGCCAGGAACUUGUUGUUGACCAUCUGGACAGGGCCCGCGACGCCACCAGGUCCCACUGCCUGGGGAGGAGACAGGUGGGCUGGUGCCCCAGGAGUUCCCCGAAGAACGCUGCCCAGACCCCUCCAUGCCCCCAGUCCGUCAGUCCCAAGCUUAUCUACCUGCUGCCCCCAGGGCCCAGCCUGGCCCGGCCUCUAGUCUGCCCACAGGCCCAGAGGAUUCCCCAGAGCGGGCCCUGCCCCUCACAGCACACCCCAUGCCCUGGGCCAAGCCCCCGCCAUCAGCCUGGGGGACAUGGCUCACAGGGUCUGCCUCUGAGAACUGGGCGGCUGUAUAACUUGCCACACAAACUGGGACACUUUUGGGUGAAGGGGUCACUGAAGAGCUGGUAAGGUGUGAGCCAGGAUUUGAGGUCACCCUCCUGCCACGAGUGUACCCUCCUGCCACGAGUGUGCCCGCCUGCCCAUCCGCCUCCCUGCUCCCCAUGGGCACCCCUCCUGCCGGGAACCACCCUGUCAGACCCCUCGACCCCCUCACCCUUCAAAGCCUCAGACACGUGUGGCGGCCGGGCCCAAGGGCACACCUGUUUGCGGGUGGUGAUGACCUGCCGGAUGGCAUUGACGAAGCCGCUCUGGUCGUAGGGGAUGAGGCCCAUGAAGAUCUUCUUCUUGGACGAGUACAGGAGCAUGAGCACGCGCACCUCGCAGGGGGAGAUGUGGGGGAAGAGCAUGCAGCCCGCCUGUGGGUGGGGGUGGGGAGGGAACGAUCAUCACGGGACAGAAAUCCUCAAGGUUAACACCAGGACCCUAAAUGACUGCUGUGUAGCCAGAACAUGUCGUUCUGGGAGCCUGUGAACGUGCACCCUGGUGUCCCCCCCCACCGUGACUCUGGGGUCAGGACUGGGGCCCCACGUGCCGGGUGAGGAUCCUGAGAGGGCUCCACCUGCCGCCCACGUGCCCCGAGGUCAUCCCUGUCCUGUGGAGUUUGCUGCUGGGCCCCGCUGACAGAGGCCACCAGGCCCCGGGGGGUUAAGAGCACAAACGCAGGACCAGACUGCCUGGGAGUAACCCUGGCUCUGCUACCUCCUAGCUGUGUGACCUAAGGCAGGUCACCCCUGGACUUCAGUUUCCCCACUUGUAAAACAGCACAACAACGGCGCACAGAGUAAGCGCCACAUAAACACUCAUUACACAAGAUGCUACUGCCUCCUUGGUGGGACUGCGGGAGAGCCUGAGCCUCACAGACGUCCCCACCUGGGGUGUCUAGACAGUGGGGCAUGCGCGUUC